GUUCAAUUUUUAUUAAUUGAUACCAGAUAGUAUAUAUAUAUAUAUAUAUUGUAAAUGUUGCAUCACUUUUUCUAACAUACAUGUACUGGUGUAGAAUACAAUGUAACACAUAUGUCUAACAAAUAAAACACAAAUGUCUAACAUCAAAUACAUAUUUCUUAUACAAUUUUGCCUGGUUAAUGUAACAUUAAAUAUGAUGAGAAUAUAAAAAAAAAUCAGAAAUGAUAAUUUAGGGGUGGAUUUGCAGGGUGCCAGGGAUCUCCACGUAAGGAGCUAAAUAUAUGGCUAAUGCAUCAACCUUUUAUACUCUGAACAUUGCCUAAACUGGGGCUGAGACCCCUCCCUUUUUUUAAAUCCUAGAUUCACAUCUGAUUUUAGUAAUAAGCAGAUUUGGAGAGGUAUCAUUGUUUUGAAACUUUAUUUGCAUAACUUCAAAUUUACAAUCAUAGCUCAGAAUUAUAUUUUUCAGGAAAAAAUCAUUAACAUGAAUUUUCCUUAAUAAUAGUAAGUUUCUCAUCUCAGUUUAAUUAAUUGUUAUUUGAAAAUUCAAAUGCAUUAAUAUGUACAAUUCAAUAAUUUAUGUAUUCAUGCAUAUUCAGUAAUCAAACAAGAAAACAAAUACAACUACAGUGCACAUUAUUACACAAAUUAAUUGAAGCCAUAAUUUUAUUUUUCAAAAUUUUGCAAUUCUUGCUGUAAAUUUACUCAAACUGUAAUCUGUUGUACUUAUAAAUAAAUGGUUAAGAUCCCCUUUUCAUAAAAAAUAUGAUAAAACUACCACUUAUUUAAGUGUGGUCUAUGUUGACACUUACAAUAAUUUGAAAGUGGACAUCUUUUUCUAAAAUGGAGGUCAUCUCAAAAUUGAAGAAAACAAUUAAUUUUGGAAUGUAGAACAAUGCAAUAUUCUCAACUGACUAGAACUCAAAGAUAUUAUAUAAAGGCAAUCAUUCUCUCUUUUAUUCCCUAAAUGUUACUUUUUUUUGUAUAAUCUAGGAUAUUCACAUUGGGCAAACAGUUUUAUUCAAACCAUCAUAUAUAGGCAAUAUGAAUUUCUUCUUCAUUAUAAUAUAGAGAAUAAUUAUGUUUGUGAAACAAUUAACUAAAUUAAGACAUUCACAUAAGUAUCACAGUAAUAUCCAAAUAUAUAUCUAUCUAUUGCUAUAUAACUUAUAUUAAUUUAAACAAAAUUACUUGAACGAGACAGAUCCAUAACUAAUUCAGCAAAAAUACCUAGGAAAAUUGUUUUCGAUUUUCAUCUUUUAAUGUUCUUGAUUAGGAGUGGCUGACUAGUUUACUUAAGUAUUUCAGCUGUAUUUCAUACUAUCAAUACACAUGUACCACCAACAAUCUCACAAUCACAUUGACACUCUAUAUUGUGACUAUAUACACAUGAUUUAUGGUUAAUUUCAGUCAGUUUUUUUGUUUUAGUAAUAGUGAAUUAUCUCCCCUUAAGAAUGAUAACUUAUCUCACUUUAAGAAUGAUAAUUUAUCUCCCUUUAAGAAUGAUAAUGUUAUUUCUACUAUAAAGAUUUGUAACGGUAUUCAUUUUACAACAUAUAAAAAUGGGGGACAUCCUUUAAAAUAUGUUCUAUGUAUUUUAAAGACUUAUUUUUUGCAAAUGAAAUGAAAAAGAAACCUAUAACUGUUUCUGUUGGAAAAAACAAUGAAUUGUAACCAGGGCUUUCCAUUGAAGCCGGUAGCCGGCGGAAAUCCGCCGUUUGCGGUGGCUUCAAGUGCCGGCUACUUCACUGACAAAAAUAUAAAUUCAAAAAGAAAAAUAAUAUCUUUUUCAAAUGUUUACAGGCAGCCGAGAGACGUAUUUUCGCAAAGUCGCGGUCACGAUAAACAAGGAUGAAAAGUCAGUGUUUACCUUGGGCUAAAUAUAGUUCACAUGAAUUCAGGUCACUGAUUGGUUGUCUGUUUAAAGUCAGAAUGCAUCGUUUCUUUUCAAAGAUAACAAGAGAGACGUUCCGGUGGUCAUUGAAUGAUAACAAUAGAGACGUUCCGAGGGUCA
rnacentral:lncRNA from 1 species